rnacentral:rRNA from 1 species
CUCAACCGGGAGAGGUCGGGCGAAACUGCGGAGCUUGAGGGCUGGAGGGGGAAGUGGAACUGUCGGAGUAGCGAUGAAAUGCGCAGAUACCGACAGGUACCUCGAUAGCGAAGGCAGCUUCCUGGCCAGACCCUGACGCUGAAGCGCGAAAGCGUGGGGAGCGAACCGGAUUAGAUACCCGGGUAGUCCACGCCGCAAACGAUGCCGGUUAGGUGUUGGCCCCUUAACGAGGGUCAGUGCCGCAGCUAACGCGUUAAACCGGUCGCCUGAGGAUUACGGCCGCAAGGCUAAAACUCAAGGGAAUUGACGGGGGCCCGCACAAGCGGUGGAGCACGUGGUUUAAUUCGAUGAUAAGCGAAGAACCUUACCUGGGCUUGACAUAUACGUGGUACUGAACCGAAAGGGGAUGGACCGUUUCC